GUAAAUUUUUCCUCCUGUUUGUUAUGAGUUAUGACUCAUUAUUACUUUAUUUUCAGGAAGUACCAUAGAGAGGAAAGCAGAAUUGGAGGAAGAUGCUGGAAUGUCAAAGAAUGCACAAUUCCGAGCAAUCCAACCUAGUCCUUCCAUUCUUUCCUAUGUAGAAGAAAAUUUUCUGGGACGUAGACGCUUGAUUGAGUUGAAAAGAGCAGGCUACAACGCUGAUCUAUCUGCUCCAUUAGAUAACAUCCCCUUCUCUACAAGUUCAGAGAGAGAACGAAUUGAAGGAAAUAUUUUUAGGAAUAAAUUGACAUUUUUUGCUGCUGCAAAGGUUUCAUCUUCAUUCCCACCCCCUGGUCUUCCAGAGAUUGCAUUUGCAGGAAGGUCAAGUGUCGGGAAGUCAUCACUACUUAAUUCACUUACCAGACAAUGGGGUGUUGCAAGGACAUCAGUCAUCACUACUUAAUUCACUUUCCAAUUGAUGUGGCACGUCGUGCAAUGCAAAUUGAAGAGAGCCUCAAGGCAAACAGGUCUCUUGUCCAGCCUGUGGUA